GAUAAUGGUUAAAUUUAAAUACUGUGCGGCGUGUUUAGUGACUGAUGUGAAAAUGUAUUGUUUAUCUGAAAAGUUUUCGAGCAAUCCUAUAAUUACACUGGGAGAUAUUUAUUCGCAACUACUUCAAAUCAAUAAUAUCAACAAAACUCAGCAUGUGUGCUUUGAAUGUACAAGACUUUUAUAUAAGUACCAUGAGUUCAAAUCCAAAUGUCAUAAGGCUCAAUCUUUAAUGUCUUUGGUGGCUGGAGCUGAUGACUCUGAAAUUAAAAAUGUCGUAAUUCAAAACAUUGAUAGAGUUUUUUACAA